rnacentral:pre_miRNA from 1 species
UGUGCACCGGUGGGGUCCCUCAGCCUGGCCUGUGCCCUCUUGCAAUCCGGAACCCUUCAGGGGAUGUUGGAGAGCCGGUUUCGGACCAAUCCCACAGGCCAGGCUGAGGGACUCCAUUGGUGCACA